GCCAUUUGCACCGGUUGUUCUGGAAGAAAAGAACGUUGAUUUUUGUGCAGAUGUUUUUGUACCAGUAUGCAAGUAUUUGCUCCUUUAAGGUGUGAUAACUUAUUUCCAGGUCGCUGAACUUCAUGAUGUCACAUGCCAGAAUAUACAAAUGCAGGUCGUUUAUGUAUAGCAGAAAGAGAAGAGGGCCGAGGACAGAGCCCUGUGGGACACCAGAUGUGACCGGGACCUCAUCCGACUUAUCACCAUUGACUAAGAUAGACUGACGGCGACCAAUGAGAAAUGAUUUGACCCACUGUAGUGUGCAGUCCUGGAUGCCAUGUUGGUGCAGCUUAUAUAGUAACUUUAGUUUGAUAUACUGUAGUGGAUGGAUCAGAAGGGGAGGUAACUAGAGUCCAGAUUGGGACUAGGGCGUAACUUGCCAACAACAACAAAAAAGAGAAAAUUUUAGUGUGAUGUAAAAGUAAAGCAGAGUGACUAGUGACCAGUAACUUCAGAAUUGAAGAGAUGCAGGUCUUUGUUCUACAUGGUGGAAGAGGGAAUUAUAGUGGAUAUUUGGAUUGAUCAGUGAAAACCUGUGAAGUGUUAGUGAAGCAGAAUAGUUACAGAUCAUAAGAGAUGCAGGUCUUUGUUCAACAUGGUGUAUAUGGAAAACACAUUGGAUGGCCAGCAUAGAAAACAUUUAACGAUGUGAAGCAACAGUCAAGCAGAAUGGCUACAGACCAUUAAUUCAGAACUGACAAGAACAGAGACUCUGCUCCACAUGCUGUAUGAGGGAACUAUUGUGGAAUUUUGGAUUUCAUGGCAGUCAUAGAAAUAUUUAAUAAAUAACCAGAUAAUUUAUAUUAAGAAUCAUUUACCACUUACAAGCUAUAUAGAGUUACAGAAUAGCUGAACAGAUACUAUCAGUUAAAAACAAACAAACUCAUCUUUCAUUCAUAAAACAAAUUUUACAGUUCAAGGGAGCCAAUUCAAAUUUUAAAAAACAACACUAAAAUGCCUUUGCUUUCACAGAAAUUGUCUCCUUUCAGGAUGUAAUCAGUUUUAUAGUUUUGGAUCGAGUAUGAGCUACAUUGGCAUUUUAGAAUAGAUAGAUGCUUCAAUAAUUACUAUAAAGUUUUAUGCACAACAUUGUAUUUUUAUAACCAAUUAACUUCUACCAUAUCAUAUAUUUAUACAGGUCUAUAGGACUGUGAUGUGUGUACCAGUCUAUCAGGCUAUCAUUCUGUCCAGUCAACAAAUUGGCAAUGGCUACAUGGAUUCUCAAGUAACUUGGCAUUACUUAUCACAGUAACAAAGAUAGAUUGCAAACGUUUUUAGAGUUAAACAUUUCCUGUAGCAGCUUAGGACAGUACAGUUUGUGAGUUAACACAU